rnacentral:lncRNA from 1 species
AUUUAUAAUCAAUAAGGUGAGCAAAAUUCGAGUAUGAUUGAUCGUAAAUUUGUAUUGAAUAAUCGAAUUAGAGUAGGAGUCGAAUUAGGGUAGGUGAUUGUUUCGUGAUUAUAUGUAGGUGAAAUUCUCUAUAGAGAACUCGGCGUCGACUUUGAAUCAGGAUUUGUUUGUUUCAUCAAAACUAGACUUUGGGUUAAAACGGACUUCAAAUGAAAACUAGUUCUCCCCAAUUGUUUGUUUCUAUAGUUAUGGAAGUAGAGUUUCUUUAGCUAUUUGUUUGGUAGAAGGUGAAUGAUAUAAAAUUAUAAUUUAUGUAUAAAUAAUAAAUAACUUAAUAAAUAAUAAAAUACAAUAUAAUAAAUGAAAAUAAUAUAAUUAUAUUUUUUAUAAUUAAAAAUUUUAAUCUGAAAUCACUAAAUUAUAUUUUUAUACAUAUAGGUAAAUUAUAAUAAUACACCAAUAACAUUAUAAAGUAAAAAAAAUUGUUAGUACUUUACUAAUCAAUUUUCAUUGUAUUUAAGUACAAACUAAUGAAGAAAAUAUUAAAGUUUAACUAAUCGAUAUUUAUCAUAUUUUACAUAUGCAAACUAAAUAAAAGAGUAAUCAUAAUUAAAUAUAUUUAAAUAUAACAAGCAUUAUCAUUCAUAUUAUUUUAUUAUUUCUUCCUUCACCUCUUUUCAUCGUAAUUAACUUUGGUUUCGAAAACUUGAAUUCUGACAUAAUCUUUAUUACGGCAAAUCAGAUAGCAGAAGUGAUCAUUUGCGGUCAA